rnacentral:sRNA from 1 species
CCCUAGCCCUGAUAGCAGUGGAAAUCCUUAUAUGCCGGUGUUCGGCAUAUAAGAUUGUAAUGAAUAGCAGGAAAUAGC